rnacentral:rRNA from 1 species
GUACCCUUCGGUUCGGAAUAACUCAGGGAAACUUGAGCUAAUACCGGAUACGCCCUUUUGGGGAAAGGUUUACUGCCGAAGGAUCGGCCCGCGUCUGAUUAGCUUGUUGGUGGGGUAACGGCCUACCAAGGCGACGAUCAGUAGCUGGUCUGAGAGGAUGAUCAGCCACACUGGGACUGAGACACGGCCCAGACUCCUACGGGAGGCAGCAGUGGGGAAUAUUGGACAAUGGGCGCAAGCCUGAUCCAGCCAUGCCGCGUGAGUGAUGAAGGCCUUAGGGUUGUAAAGCUCUUUUGUCCGGGACGAUAAUGACGGUACCGGAAGAAUAAGCCCCGGCUAACUUCGUGCCAGCAGCCGCGGUAAUACGAAGGGGGCUAGCGUUGCUCGGAAUCACUGGGCGUAAAGGGCGCGUAGGCGGCCGAUUAAGUCGGGGGUGAAAGCCUGUGGCUCAACCACAGAAUUGCCUUCGAUACUGGUUGGCUUGAGACCGGAAGAGGACAGCGGAACUGCGAGU